rnacentral:tmRNA from 1 species
GGGGGUGAACGGUUUCGACGGGGAUGCAAGGGCUCAGGUAGUGGCAGGCCGAGGAGCCAACCUCGUAAAAAAGGCACCCAAAAUAGUUGCCGACGAAACACUCGCUCUCGCUGCCUAAUUAGACGCAGCGACGCCCUCUGGAGCUCCGCCCGUCGGCUCCAGUAAGGGCGACAGAGAGGCGGGCUUGGUAGUUCCCUCUCGCCCUCGGAGGGGCUACGACACCUUAGAGGGCUGGCUUCAGGGCGCCUGCCCGUGGGCUAACCCUGAAGCGAGAACUUGAAACACGGGCUAAGCCUGUAGAAGCUACCUGGGUCGCAUCUCCGGACGCGGGUUCGAAUCCCGCCACCUCCACCA